rnacentral:lncRNA from 1 species
GCGCCCUGCGCUCCAGUAACAGCCGCGGCGUGCCGCAGCGGAGCCCCGGGGCCCGCGGAGUCCCGCCCAGAGGCUGCGCGGACUGCCCGGAGGGCAUCCCGGCACGCUCGGCCCGCCCCUCUCCUCCGCGGGCGGAGCCGCCGCGCCCACGGGUUCGCCCGCGCCGCCGCUCCGCCCCCCGCCCGCGGCUGCCGCGAAAACCCGGCGGCGACACACCGCCCGGCCCCAGCCUGCGCGCCGCCCGGCGCGCCGCACUGGGCAUGCUCGGCACCGGCCGGCUCCGGCUCCAGUAGGUGGGAAGCUCCGCACUCCCGGCUUCCCGCGGCGCAGCCCGCAUCGCUGCGAGGCGCGGGCGAAGGCGGCUCGCCCGCAGUAGGCGCUGCCGCGCGUCGGGUGUGGAGCGCGGCGCAGCGGCAGCUCGCAGGCUGGCCAUGGCGAGGGGCGCACGGCGGCCACCUGAGUGGCGAGGCGGCGUCAGGUUGGCGGGGGCGCCGGCGAGCUGGGGCGGAGGGGCGCAGGUGGCAGGGAGCCCCGCACGGGGUGGGCGGCCGAGUGGCUGCCGCCGCCGGGGCCGCGGAACUUUCGGGCGCUUGGGCUGGCGGAGGCUGCGCCGCGAGGUCCCAGCAGCGGGCUCCUGGGGGUCGUAGGAUGCUUCGAGAUGCUUGCGGGGCGGGACUUGGGGAUCGGCGGGUUGGGGCUAGCGCGUCUCAGCCUUGUGCCAUAACCUUCCUACGGCGAGGAGCGCAGUGUCUACCGCGCGCUGCCGAGGAGAUUCCCGGGUCUCCGGGAGGAAGGGGAGCCAAGGAGCGGCGGGGGCCUUCGCAGACUCCAGAUCGUUCGAGUCACCGUGACUCAGUUUCCCCGGGACGGAGGGGAGGGUGUGCUGUCCCGGGCCCCGAAAGCCCUGAGUGCGGGUUCCGCGUCAGGAGCCGGGAGAACACGCGUCCUGAUGCUGCAGGAGUGCGGGAAGCUGUGGGCGCCGCGAGCCGCCGCCUCGCGACUGGAGCUCGCAGAGUUUGUCGCAUUUGA